rnacentral:rRNA from 1 species
UACGAAGGGGGCUAGCGUUGCUCGGAAUGACUGGGCGUAAAGGGCGCGUAGGCGGCGGUCACAGUCAGAUGUGAAAUUCCUGGGCUUAACCUGGGGGCUGCAUUUGAUACGUGGUUGCUUGAGUGGGGAAGAGGGUCGUGGAAUUCCCAGUGUAGAGGUGAAAUUCGUAGAUAUUGGGAAGAACACCGGUGGCGAAGGCGGCGACCUGGUCCGAUACUGACGCUGAGGAGCGAAAGCGUGGGGAGCGAACAGG